UCAGGACCUCUUUUCUGUGUGACCCCAUAUAUUCUAUUCUAUCUGAUAGUGAGAUAUAUUGUGAUCUCCAUCACUAACAUCAUUGAAACUCUUUUCAAUAGAUUGAAAUAAUUUUAACUUAUAAUAUGAGAAUUAUUAACCAUCAAAAUAAUUCUCAUUAGUCUCACAAUCCAUCAGUAAUGCCAGCAGCAUGUAGUGACAACUC
rnacentral:lncRNA from 1 species